UCAGUCGACUCCUACGGGGAGGCAGCAGUGGGGGAAUAUUGCACAAUGGGCGCAAGCCUGAUGCAGCCAUGCCGCGUGUAUGAAGAAGGACCUUCGGGUUGUAAAGUACUUUCAGCAGUGAGGAAGGUGGGGUAUGGUUAAUAGCAUACUCAUUUGACGUUAGCUGCAGAAGAAGCACCGGCUAACUCCGUGCCAGCAGCCGCGGUAAUACGGAGGGUGCGAGCGUUAAUCGGAAUUACUGGGCGUAAAGCGCAUGCAGGUGGUUUGUUAAGUCAGAUGUGAAAGCCCGGGGCUCAACCUCGGAAUAGCAUUUGAAACUGGCAGACUAGAGUACUGUAGAGGGGGGUAGGAAUUUCAGGUGUAGCGGUGAAAUGCGUAGAGAUCUGAAGGAAUACCGGUGGCGAAGGCGGCCCCCUGGACAGAUACUGACACUCAGAUGCGAAAGCGUGGGGAGCAAACAGGAUUAGAUACCCUGGUAG
rnacentral:rRNA from 1 species